rnacentral:rRNA from 1 species
GACGAACGCUGUCGGCGUGCUUAACACAUGCAAGUCGAACGGAAAGGCCCUGCUUUUGUGGGGUGCUCGAGUGGCGAACGGGUGAGUAACACGUGAGUAACCUGCCCUUGACUUUGGGAUAACUUCAGGAAACUGGGGCUAAUACCGGAUAGGAGCUCCUGCUGCAUGGUGGGGGUUGGAAAGUUUCGGCGGUUGGGGAUGGACUCGCGGCUUAUCAGCUUGUUGGUGGGGUAGUGGCUUACCAAGGCUUUGACGGGUAGCCGGCCUGAGAGGGCGACCGGCCACAUUGGGACUGAGAUACGGCCCAGACUCCUACGGGAGGCAGCAGUGGGGAAUAUUGCACAAUGGGCGGAAGCCUGAUGCAGCAACGCCGCGUGCGGGAUGACGGCCUUCGGGUUGUAAACCGCUUUCGCCUGUGACGAAGCGUGAGUGACGGUAAUGGGUAAAGAAGCACCGGCUAACUACGUGCCAGCAGCCGCGGUGAUACGUAGGGUGCGAGCGUUGUCCGGAUUUAUUGGGCGUAAAGGGCUCGUAGGUGGUUGAUCGCGUCGGAAGUGUAAUCUUGGGGCUUAACCCUGAGCGUGCUUUCGAUACGGGUUGACUUGAGGAAGGUAGGGGAGAAUGGAAUUCCUGGUGGAGCGGUGGAAUGCGCAGAUAUCAGGAGGAACACCAGUGGCGAAGGCGGUUCUCUGGGCCUUUCCUGACGCUGAGGAGCGAAAGCGUGGGGAGCGAACAGGCUUAGAUACCCUGGUAGUCCACGCUGUAAACGGUGGGUACUAGGUGUGGGGUCCAUUCCACGGGUUCCGUGCCGUAGCUAACGCUUUAAGUACCCCGCCUGGGGAGUACGGCCGCAAGGCUAAAACUCAAAGGAAUUGACGGGGCCCCGCACAAGCGGCGGAGCAUGCGGAUUAAUUCGAUGCAACGCGUAGAACCUUACCUGGGUUUGACAUGGAUCGGGAGCGCUCAGAGAUGGGUGUGCCUCUUUUGGGGUCGGUUCACAGGUGGUGCAUGGCUGUCGUCAGCUCGUGUCGUGAGAUGUUGGGUUAAGUCCCGCAACGAGCGCAACCCUUGUUCACUGUUGCCAGCACGUUAUGGUGGGGACUCAGUGGAGACCGCCGGGGUCAACUCGGAGGAAGGUGGGGAUGACGUCAAGUCAUCAUGCCCCUUAUGUCCAGGGCUUCACGCAUGCUACAAUGGCUGGUACAGAGAGUGGCGAGCCUGUGAGGGUGAGCGAAUCUCGGAAAGCCGGUCUCAGUUCGGAUUGGGGUCUGCAACUCGACCUCAUGAAGUCGGAGUCGCUAGUAAUCGCAGAUCAGCAACGCUGCGGUGAAUACGUUCCCGGG